ACUCUCGGCAACGGAUAUCUUGGCUCUCGCAUCGAUGAAGAACGUAGCAAAAUGCGAUAGCUGGUGUGAAUUGCAGAAUCCCGUGAACCAUCGAGUCUUUGAACGCAAGUUGCGCCCGAAGUCGUUAGGCCAAGGGCACGCCUGCCUGGGUGUCA
rnacentral:rRNA from 1 species